rnacentral:tRNA from 3 species
GGGCGGUUAGCUCAGUUGGUUAGAGUACUUGCUCGACACGCAAGAGGUCACUGGUUCGAGUCCAGUACCGCCCA